AAUACAGAACACAUAAAGGAAAUCCACGCAGACGAAUUUGGAGUUCCCAUGGUCAUGGAUAUUAAGAAAAUUUUGUAUUUAGUAAUGCUGUUGGCUGAAUGUCAAGGGAAACACAAGUAUAAUCCUCUGGAAACAAUGAUGGAAACAUAUAAGGGAUGGUCUAAAGGCAUGGGCGUUAAAGAUCGG